GAACGCUGGCGGCGUGCUUAACACAUGCAAGUCGAACGGAAAGGCCUUUUCGGAGGUGCUCGAGUGGCGAACGGGUGAGUAACACGUGGGUGAUCUGCCCUGCACUCUGGGAUAAGCCUGGGAAACUGGGUCUAAUACCGGAUAGGACCGCACUUUAGUGUGUGUGGUGGAAAGUUUUUUCGGUGUAGGAUGAGCCCGCGGCCUAUCAGCUUGUUGGUGGGGUAAUGGCCUACCAAGGCGGCGACGGGUAGCCGGACUGAGAGGUUGGUCGGCCACAUUGGGACUGAGAUACGGCCCAGACUCCUACGGGAGGCAGCAGUGGGGAAUAUUGCACAAUGGGCGCAAGCCUGAUGCAGCGACGCCGCGUGGGGGAUGACGGCCUUCGGGUUGUAAACUCCUUUCGCCAGGGACGAAGCGUUUUGUGACGGUACCUGGAGAAGAAGCACCGGCUAACUACGUGCCAGCAGCCGCGGUAAUACGUAGGGUGCAAGCGUUGUCCGGAAUUACUGGGCGUAAAGAGCUCGUAGGUGGUUUGUCACGUCGUCUGUGAAAUUCCACAGCUUAACUGUGGGCGUGCAGGCGAUACGGGCUGACUUGAGUACUGUAGGGGUAACUGGAAUUCCUGGUGUAGCGGUGAAAUGCGCAGAUAUCAGGAGGAACACCGAUGGCGAAGGCAGGUUACUGGGCAGUUACUGACGCUGAGGAGCGAAAGCAUGGGUAGCAAACAGGAUUAGAUACCCUGGUAGUCCAUGCCGUAAACGGUGGGCGCUAGGUGUAGGGGCCUUUUGGGGUUUCUGUGCCGUAGCUAACGCAUUAAGCGCCCCGCCUGGGGAGUACGGCCGCAAGGCUA
rnacentral:rRNA from 1 species